GACUGAAGUAUAAGACUUUGAACAAGAUGUAGCAUUGAGUCUAUGAAGAGUGGUGAGGGGAUUGGAGUGGCGGAGAUUCCAUUUAACAAUCAAGUUUAAUUGGACAGGGAAGAAGUUAAAAAGAGGCUUUUCAGCCCUUAAGUUCACGAAAGUUAUAACACGGGCUGUACGAAAAAACCGCCUUACGGCAAAGGCCACUGACAAUGAGGUCGACAAUAUAGCCAAAGACUGGUUUAGGUAUGCAGGGGACCGAGAAGGGGGCAGACAAAAAAGAGAAGAAAUUAAAAGACAGAAAGAGGCGGCGACAGCUGCACUGAUGGCAUCGGCUACCGAUCAUCCAGUGUAAAAAAUAAAAAG